AUGUAGGACGUUACAACAUUGCGCCAAGAGAAGCGACUAAACAUUAAAGUAAAGAUGGGUUUUAAUCUGUUGCUCAAAUCUGCCAGGCUGAGAUACCAAAGUUGCAGCAAGUAUUUUUUUUUUUGACGAAACGCGGCAGCGCUACUUUUCAUUAAUUAAGAACGAAGAGAACAAAGCCAAGCGGCCGAAAUAGCUACAAGAGUUAUAGAGAAAUACAGAGCAACCGAAAAAGGCUUACACGACGACCAUCGCCACAACGAGGAACACAUGCAACGCAAGAGGAGCACUCCUAAAGCCAUCGAAAGACCACACAACACCGAGACAUUGCAACGCACACAAACAGCUCCUCCGCCACUCAGCUGUCAUCACCACGGCCAAACAAAGCACCAGGCCAACGAGUGUAGUGGCAUGGUCGAAGGACCUCUCCGCCGAGACCAAGUCGAAGGGCGUUGCGAAGCCGAGACAACACCACACACGAACCUUGACCGCCGCUGGACAACCCCGAGGAUUGCGGACAGAAACUGGCCAUUCACGCCGUCGAAAGGCACCGAGCAGUCGAGGCAGCAACAGGAGUGCGCGGCUCAUCACAAAGUAUGAAGCAAAGGAUCGAUGACGGUCGAAAACGUAAACCGAGAAGGCCACUUGCUGCGUCCACUAGAAACCGCCCGACCCGCCGAGAAAUCCACGGAUCCAAGACAACAUCUUCAAGAAGAAUGCGACACAGACUGCCGCCGCUGCCCGGUCCAAAGGACCUACGAUUUUCACCGGAUUCGUGAAAGGGGCCACAACAAUGCCUCGAAGGAGGGCUACGGCGCACGUAGGCGUCGCCAUUGUCAAGGCUGGCGGCCGCCGGUCUGAGCUUUCACCCGGCCCCUAAAAUCCAUGGCAGAGAAGGUGCUACUAGAGACAGCAAGGAGGGCGGUGGCCUAAGCCACACGCACGGACAGCCAAGGACGGCCAACAGACCACCACCGGGGGGCGCCACCCCAGACCCCAAAGCCGGCGAGCAGGGAGCUCACCGCCACCCGAGACGCCGCCAAGCGCCGGAUCCGGGCGCGAUGACCCAGAUCCAGACAUCUGCUGCAGCCCCGACCACCUGCCGCCUCCAGCAGCAAGUAUGAGUUAGUGGUUGCUAGCACACAUGAAUUCAAUCUCAAGGAAAACCAGCGCGAGAUAUUUGCAUGGCACGAUUCCUAACAGUGGAUCUAUUUAUUGCUCAUGAUUUUCAACCUAUGAAUGUGCUAUUUAAAUCUAGAACUAUGCGGAUAUAUUUACGACCACUAAUGCUGAUCGAUUAAAACAAGCGCUUGAUAUGUAUUGUCAGUCUUCUGGACAGAUGGUGAGUGAUGUGAUGCUAAAUCAUCAAAAAAUUCAGCCCUUGCACCUUGGUGGAAACGAAAGAACUAGUCUGUACUUCCUUGAACAUUUUAACAGAAUCGACUACAGACAAGUAUUUAGGACUGCCUCCACUUAUUGGUGUCCAUCGUACGGAUUGUUUCCAGCAUUUAAGAGAUAGAGUCUGUAACGGGUUAAAUGGGUGGAAGAAGAAAUUAUCUUUAGGAGGAAAGGAGCCAAGGAGGUCUUGCUCAAAGCAGUGGCACAAGCUAUUCCAUCUUAUGCAGUGUCUGUUUCUAAAUUACCAAAACAAGUAUGCAAAGGGAUAACUACUGCACAAUGUCCCAGUACUGGUGGGGUGAUGAAGAACACUAGAAGCAUAUGCAUUGGUUUGCGUGAUGGAAGAUGUGUAUACCUAAACAGAAGGGAGGCAUGGGUUUUCGUGAUCUUCAUUGUUUUAACCUAGCUAUGUUGGCUAGGCAGUGUUGGAGACUCUUGCAGGCGCCGAAUUCUUUACGUGUUUCGGUCUUAAGAGCUAAGUAUUAUCCUUCUGGAGAUCUUCUCAGUUGUGAUUUAAAGAAGGAUAGCUCUUUUACUUGGCAAAGUCUUUGGGAUGGAAUACUAGUCUUUUAGCGUGGACAUAUUUGAAGAGUUGGUGAUGGAACUAGCAUUAAUAUUUGUGAUGAUCCUUGGACUCCCAACAGCCCAGAUCGUGGAAUAAUGACGAGAAGAGGGACAUUGUCUGCACUAAGAUUUCUGAACUUAUUGAUGUUGAAAACAGAUGCUGGGAUGAGCAGGUCUUGCGUGAUCUGUUCUGGGAUGUUGAUGUUAACCGGAUUUUGAAAAUUCCUAUUGCUAGAACACAGAUGGAUGAUCUGGUCUUGUGGCACUAAUGCAAUUCCAAGCAUACCCAGCUGCAAUUGCUAGUUAAAUAUCUUCUUUUACUAACUUCUCCUUGUAGUCCUAGUUUCACCAACUUUCUUUUGCAUUGAUCUCAUUGAGCUCUUUGAGGACCAUGUGGUAUGUUUUGUUAGUUUUGGACUGUUUUCAUUUUGGAUUGUUUUAAUUCCCUUUUUUCUGUGCAGACUGUCCCAUAAAUUAUGAUUCUUACAUGUACACAGUUGCAACCGAGCUCAAGUUCCGCAUUGAUUCUGAUGGACGUUUGGCAACAGUAGGCUCUACCAUGUGGAGAGAUUUCCUGGUCAAAGCUGGUCUCAACGAAAAGGAUCAUAUUUCUUUUCUCAUCUUCAAGGAAAUGUCACGCCUAGUAGUCUGUGCUUUGAAGAUAUGAGCAUGUAUAUUUUGCGUCGACUCACAUCGGUGGAAUCAUGUGCUUCUAUAACUAAAAGUCGGAAUUUUAUUUUGUGUUUUGUGUUGUUUGUUCGCGAAAUUAACACCAGUAACGCAACUAUGAAUGCCAUGAUAUUAUUUUGCUUUUGGGAUUCCUUAGUUCUGAUUACAUUGCUUUUUGGCAGGAAGGCGCUGUGUUUUGGAAUUAACUAUGAAUUCUAACCCUAUGUUCAUAUUUGUAUCUAUUCCUUUGUUCUGUUAAAACCAGGUAUAUAUCUUUUUGGUUUGCACGAUGCCUAGAAGGGUCCUCUGGCUGUUGUUUAAACAGACUGUCAAGGGGUGAGACACUCAAUCUUUUGGACGAUCUCUGAAGAGGAGAUGGGGGGGGGGUAGUAUCUGAAUGAUGGUUAGAUGGAUCUUGUUUUCGGCAAGGGAAGCUAGAGGCCCACUUGAAUCAGCAAUAAACAGGUACACCACUUUUUGCAUGCAUGCUUUCUGCAACUCCUGUAAUUAUAUGGGUUCUGCCACUGCAAUUACCCUGGGUUUCCCUUUCAGUUGCACUUCUGAAAUUCCUUCCUAAAUUUUGGCUACCAUUCUUGGGAUCAUCGUCACGGCUGUACAUGUGAAUUGCAUUAGGAGUCAUCAUGCAAUUAUAGGGUUCUGCCACUGCAAUUACCAUGGGUUUCUCUUUCAUUUUUCCAAUAAUCAACUUACUGUACCAUUUUUUGAGCCUUUUUUAAGUGUGUAAUUGCAAUCCAUGUUACUGUAGUAGCCUAUUGCAAUAUUUUGUCCUUUCUGCAAUUCAAGUCCCUUGUAAUUGCAAUUUCCAUGUAUUGCAACCUAAAUUUUCAUGCAACUACCAUUAAUUUGGGUUUUGUUUAAACUAAGUAGAUGUAAGCUUAAAAUUUGGUAACUGAAUGAUGGGUAGAUGCUGUCUCAAAUUUUGGCAAGGGAAGCUAGAGGCCCCGUUGAAUAACCAAUGAACAGGUAAACUUCUUACCCAACUUCUUUUUUGUCCUGCUAUGUAUGGUCACAAACAUGGUCAAUUGCACUUUUUUUUUCUGCAAUCUGGCAUAUAACCAAAGUCAUUUGCAGCUUCCCGCUCCUUGAAUUGCAUCCCCAGAUUUUUGCCCUUUUAGUUUCUGAAUUUCGGUCCAUUUUGUCCUAGGUUCAAAUUGUAGGUCAAAGGCAUUUUUGAGUUCAAUACCUGGAAUUUUGCAAUGCUGAUCUGUUUACUCAAUUUGCAUGGAAUUCACCAUGCGCAAUUGGUUUGUCAUAAGCAACACGAUUGCAUUUGUCUCUGACUAAAAUUGCAGACCUGCAUUUUGGUAUCCUGUUUUGUUGUUGAUUAUUGGUUGUUGUACAGAGGAUGUAUGCUUUUCUGGGAUGGUUUUGGGUUUGAUUUUUGACACUGACUGCGAGCCAUAGUUUGAAUUUACCCAGAGAGCAAAAAUUUGGCUAGCAACAGGGGGAAUUUGACAUGGUUAUCUGGUAUCACUGAAAGUAUUCCUUUUGAGUAGAAACGCAUCAUCGAUAAUUAUGGAUUUUAUUUCGUGUUCCACCUUAAUUCAUUUGGAGUUCCACGUUCCUUUGCCCAAUGGUUAGCGGACCACACCCAGGCUGAACGUUCUGACAUCAUCGUCGAUAGUGGUGUCGUCCAUCUUAGCGUUGAGUCCUUUUCUGAAGUUAUUGGGCUAGAAAACUCUGGAUUGGAUGUAAAUGCUGAUUUUGAUGGUUCAUAAGAUCUGAUAAUCUUAUGAUGUAUCUAUUCCAUAUUUUCUAAAAUUGCAGAUUGCACUACGCCAUGCCCUUACUUGCAGCACCCUUUUAGGAUGUUAAAUACCGUACUGAAAUUGAUUCAUUCUGGUUAUUUAUUUCCGACCCUUUGUUGUGUGCCCAUAUAGUUCAAAUUUGCACUACUAUAUACUCCUAGUUGCAACGCUGUAACAUCUGCAUUUCAAAGCUUAACGAAGUGCAAUUGAUAAUUUUUUGCUAUCUGAUAAUCAUACAUUGUAUCUGUUUCAUCUUUCUAAAAUUUCAAUUUGCACAGUGCCAUGCCCUUAAUUGCAGUACCUUUUGUAUGCAUGGACAUCAUAUUGUAAUGGUUAUGGUUAUUGCUGUAAGUCAAUUAAUCUUAGAAAAACCUACUAGUCUAAAUGCACUGUCUAUCUAAGCUUUUGUACCUGUACUAUAUAAUUUUUAGCAAAGCCUGUUCAUAUGGAUAUGGAGAAUGCUAGAUGCAGUCAGCAUCUUAGCUAUGCUUGUGUGGUUAUUCCACCCUUUUAUUCCACUGUUAGAAGGAUGUUUUUUUGCUUCUCUGGAUGUGCCCUUUUUUUCAGAUUUGUGCUCCUGCUGGAAGGAUUUUGGAGAUUCAAUUUGUUUGCCAGCACAGAAGCAAAACAGAGAAACAGAGAACAGGUUUGCACAACAAAAUGCCCACACAAUUAUCCUUUUGUGUUUUUCUACUGAUGGUUCAUAUGUUUCUCCUCUGUUGUUUGAAUCUUUGGUUUUUUUGGCGUCAAAGUUAGCUGGUUGUUUUGGUUAGAGAAGACUUGAUUCUUUUUGUUUUGUGGCUCACAGAAGAUUCGACUGGUUUCAAUCAAAAAACCAGGCGACUACUAGAAUGCCAAAAACCAGGCGACUGGUUCCUGGGCAAAAAAUAGGCGUCUGCCCAAUAGACAGACCCGAUUAUUCUUUUGAGACAUGGAUCUCUAACUUCAGAUAGCUUUUUCUUGUUUUCCUUUUCUCAACCCUUUGUAGUUUGUACAUAUUUGAUUUUUAUUUAAUAUAUGGCAGUAGGUUUUUUAACCUACUGUCUUCCCAUGAAAAAACACAUGUUUUAAUUUUAAUUGAUAUGAGUAUCUGACUUUCUUCUGAA